rnacentral:rRNA from 1 species
GACGAACGCUGGCGGCGUGCUUAACACAUGCAAGUCGAACGGAAAGGCCCUGCUUGCAGGGUACUCGAGUGGCGAACGGGUGAGUAACACGUGGGUGAUCUGCCCUGCACUUCGGGAUAAGCCUGGGAAACUGGGUCUAAUACCGGAUAGGAGCCAUUUUUAGUGUGAUGGUUGGAAAGUUUUUUCGGUGUAGGAUGAGCUCGCGGCCUAUCAGCUUGUUGGUGGGGUAAUGGCCUACCAAGGCGGCGACGGGUAGCCGGCCUGAGAGGGUGGACGGCCACAUUGGGACUGAGCUUCGGCCCAGACUCCUACGGGAGGCAGCAGUGGGGAAUAUUGCACAAUGGGCGCAAGCCUGAUGCAGCGACGCCGCGUGGGGGAUGACGGCCUUCGGGUUGUAAGCUCCUUUCGCUAGGGACGAAGCUUUUUGUGACGGUACCUAGAUAAGAAGCACCGGCUAACUACGUG